UCGACAUAGUUUAAUUUAAGACACUGGGCUGUGGCUCCAGUAAUAAAAA
rnacentral:tRNA from 1 species